rnacentral:rRNA from 1 species
UGAGCUUGAUCCUGGCUCAGAUUGAACGCUGGCGGCAUGCUUUACACAUGCAAGUCGAACGGUAACAGGGAGCUUGCUCCGCUGACGAGUGGCGAACGGGUGAGUAAUAUAUCGGAACGUACCCAAGAGUGGGGGAUAACGUAGCGAAAGUUACGCUAAUACCGCAUACGAUCUAAGGAUGAAAGCAGGGGACCGCAAGGCCUUGUGCUCCUGGAGCGGCCGAUAUCUGAUUAGCUAGUUGGUAGGGUAAAGGCCUACCAAGGCAUCGAUCAGUAGCUGGUCUGAGAGGACGACCAGCCACACUGGAACUGAGACACGGUCCAGACUCCUACGGGAGGCAGCAGUGGGGAAUUUUGGACAAUGGGCGCAAGCCUGAUCCAGCAAUGCCGCGUGAGUGAAGAAGGCCUUCGGGUUGUAAAGCUCUUUUGUCAGGGAAGAAACGGGCGAGGCUAAUAUCCUCGUCUAAUGACCGGUACCUGAAG